rnacentral:rRNA from 1 species
UACAGAGGGUGCAAGCGUUGUUCGGAAUUAUUGGGCGUAAAGCGUGCGCAGGCGGUUUCUUAAGUCAGAUGUGAAAGCCCCGGGCUUAACCUGGGAACUGCGUUUGAAACUGGGAGACUUGAGUGUGGCAGAGGGGGGUGGAAUUCCGACGUGUAGCAGUGAAAUGCGUAGAUAUGUGGAGGAACACCGAUGGCGAAGGCAGCCCCCUGGGUUAACACUGACGCUCAUGCACGAAAGCGUGGGGAGCAAACAGG